CCUAGGGAGGCAGCAGUGGGGAAUAUUGGACAAUGGGCGCAAGCCUGAUCCAGCCAUGCCGCGUGAGUGAUGAAGGCCUUAGGGUUGUAAAGCUCUUUCGCCAGGGACGAUAAUGACGGUACCUGGAUAAGAAGCCCCGGCUAACUUCGUGCCAGCAGCCGCGGUAAU
rnacentral:rRNA from 1 species